UUUCCGUAGGUGAACCUGCGGGAGGAUCAUUCAUAAUAAGUGUUUUAUGGCACUUUUUUAAAUCCAUAUCCACCUUGUGUGCAAUGUCAGGGUUGAUUUUUCUCUCGAGAGGAUCGGCCCCAAACAUCAACUAUAUCUCAACUCUUUGUCUGAAAAAUAUUAUGAAUAAAACAAUUCAAAAUACAACUUUCAACAACGGAUCUCUUGGCUCUC
rnacentral:misc_RNA from 1 species